GCACUCUUGUUUCUGCUCAAACAGCAUAAAUCUUUCGCCUUUUACUAAAGAUUUCCGUGGGGAGAGACAAAUAGAGUUUCUAUGAAUUUUUUGAUAUCUUGCGAGAGCGAGCA